GACGAACGCUGGCGGCGUGCUUAACACAUGCAAGUCGAACGGAAAGGCCCUGCUUUUGUGGGGUGCUCGAGUGGCGAACGGGUGAGUAACACGUGAGUAACCUGCCCUUGACUUUGGGAUAACUUCAGGAAACUGGGGCUAAUACCGGAUAUGAGCUCCUGCUGCAUGGUGGGGGUUGGAAAGUUUCGGCGGUUGGGGAUGGACUCGCGGCUUAUCAGCUUGUUGGUGGGGUAGUGGCUUACCAAGGCUUUGACGGGUAGCCGGCCUGAGAGGGUGACCGGCCACAUGGGGACUGAGAUACGGCCCAGAAUCCUACGGGAGGCAGCAGUGGGGAAUAUUGCACAAUGGGCGGAAGCCUGAUGCAGCAACGCCGCGUGCGGGAUGACGGCCUUCGGGUUGUAAACCGAUUUCGCCUGUGACGAAGAGUGAGUGACGGUAAUGGGUAAAGAAGCACCGGCUAACUACGUG
rnacentral:rRNA from 1 species